AUGCACAGCAGCUCGUUAUGCAACACAAACCUCAACGUGACCCAAUGGAUAACACAAAUGGGGCAGCCCCCUCUCUUUGCCCUGUUCACUGAUACUGUCUGCAGCGCGGAUAACACACACAGCAUUCUCCUCAGCCUUGCAGGGAAACGCGCCAUGCUGCUCAUUCUGCUAUUCUACACGCUCCAAGUUGGAGAUGCGGGGCUGUUCCAAUACCCGCCCUUAGUCAGAGCCGAGGUCGGGAGCAGCGUAAACUUGACCUGCGAUAUCAGAGACUUCCCGACUGCAAAGUGCUUCAGUGUCAUCUGGAUCAAACUGCGGUCCAAGAGCAGACCGACCCUGGAAACUUAUCAAAGUGUCAGACCCGGUGGCAGCUUCGUAGGCAACGAAAUCGAGAAAUCCUGUUCCCUGAACCUCAACAACGCGCAGGUGAACGAUUCCGCGACGUACUAUUGCGCUUUUAUUAAGAGCUCACUCAUGUACACGGGCAAUGGAUCCACGCUAGUAGUACGAGAAGGCUCCGAUGACCGCGCUUAUAUUGAAAUCCUCACCCCUUCAGAGGGCGCAGUCCAGUCCAGUGGCGCCGCUACUUUAGUGUGUUUGGUGUUCGGGGUACCCGAGCAGGCUCGGGUCUAUUGGGUCAUCGAACACGAACUGACCGACUCCGGGACCGGAAAUUCCAGUGAAUCCACUCCGGACUUUAUCAGGAAUCAAAUCACCAUUCCGGGCGCGGUCUGGAGCAGCGGGACCGUGUGCACUUGUGUAGUGGAAACAGAGAGCGGGCGGAAUAUGAGAAAAAGCGUGAGCAAGACCG